CCUACGGGUGGCUGCAGUGAGGAAUAUUGGUCAAUGGACGAGAGUCUGAACCAGCCAAGUAGCGUGAAGGAUGACUGCCCUAUGGGUUGUAAACUUCUUUUAUAUGGGAAUAAAACGUUCCACGUGUGGGAUUUUGUAUGUACCAUAUGAAUAAGGAUCGGCUAACUCCGUGCCAGCAGCCGCGGUAAUACGGAGGAUCCGAGAGUUAUCCGGAUUUAUUGGGGUUAAAGGGAGCGUAGGUGGAUUGGUAAGUCAGUUGUGAAAGUUUGAGGCUCAACCGUAAAAUUGCAGUUGAAACUGGCAGUCUUGAGUACAGUAGAGGUGGGCGGAAUUCGUGGUGUAGCGGUGAAAUGCUUAGAUAUCACGAAGAACUCCGAUUGCGAAGGCAGUUCACUGGACUGCAACUGACACUGAGGCUCGAAAGUGUGGGUAUCAAACAGGAUUAGAUACCCGGGUAGUC
rnacentral:rRNA from 1 species